rnacentral:rRNA from 1 species
GACGAACGCUGGCGGCGUGCUUAACACAUGCAAGUCGAACGAAGAGCGAUGGACGCUUGCUUCUAUCAAUCUUAGUGGCGAACGGGUGAGUAACGCGUAAUCAACCUGCCCUUCAGAGGGGGACAACAGUUGGAAACGACUGCUAAUACCGCAUACGAUCUAAUCUCGGCAUCGAGGAUAGAUGAAAGGUGGCCUCUACAUGUAAGCUAUCACUGAAGGAGGGGAUUGCGCCUGAUUAGCUAGUUGGAGGGGUAACGGCCCACCAAGGCGAUGAUCAGUAGCCGGUCUGAGAGGAUGAACGGCCACAUUGGGACUGAGACACGGCCCAGACUCCUACGGGAGGCAGCAGUGGGGAAUCUUCCGCAAUGGACGAAAGUCUGACGGAGCAACGCCGCGUGAGUGAGGGCGGCCUUCGGGUUGUAAAGCUCUGUUAAUCGGGACGAAAGGCCUUCUUGCGAAUAGUGAGAAGGAUUGACGGUACCGGAAUAGAAAGCCACGGCUAACUACGUG